ACAUGCCUACAACAUAGCGUUAAUACACCGGAUCACAUUAGAACUCCACAGUUAAGCGCACACAGGCUAGAGUAGUACAAGGAUGGGGUCCUAGUGUUAAAAUAUUAUCGUAUC
rnacentral:rRNA from 1 species